GCCAGCAUGGUGUAGUGGUUUGUGCAUUGGACUAGGACUCUGGAGACCAGGGUUCAAUUCCCAGCUCAGCUA